GUAUUUGUGUAGGUAUGUUGGUGUUUUAUGUUUUGCAUAAAUAAUGGCAUAUUUAGGACAUAAUUCAUUUUACACAUGAACUUCAAUUGUUUUUAAACUUUCAUAGGCCAUAGCAUCAGGGUAUUCCGUUUUAACACAUUUGCUUGAUGUUUCUCAUUUUCAAACAACUUUGAUGCAAAUGCAUAGUGUCAAAGUAUUUCACUCUGGGUUGCAAUGAAGGCACCAGUUACUUUUGAAACUAGAAUGAAUUCGAAGUAAAAACUAGAAGAAAAUUCAUUUUAUGGUGUUAAAAAAUAUUUUAUCAGUUAUUUUUAUGAAAUAGACAACUGUUUACAAGGUUAAACCACAAGUUUAUUUCUUUUUAUCAUAUAGUGCUCUAGAA
rnacentral:lncRNA from 1 species